UACGUAGGGGCAAGCGUUGUCCGGAAUUAUUGGGCGUAAAGAGCGUGUAGGCGGUCCGGUAAGUCGGCUGUGAAAGUCCAGGGCUCAACCCUGGGAUGCCGGUCGAUACUGCCGGGACUAGAGUUCGGAAGAGGCGAGUGGAAUUCCCGGUGUGAGCGGUGAAAUGCGCAGAGUAGUCGGGAGGAACACCGGUGGCGAAGGCGGUCUCUGGGCGAUUACCCUGACGCUGAGGAGCGAAAGUGUGGGGAGCGAACAGGAU
rnacentral:rRNA from 1 species